CAGCCCUAAACGAUGCGCGUUAGGUGUAUCGGUGACCACGAGUCACCGAGGUGCCGAAGGGAAACCGUGAAACGUGCCGCCUGGGAAGUACGGUCGCAAGGCUGAAACUUAAAGGAAUUGGCGGGGGAGCACAACAACGGGUGGAGCUUGCGGUUUAAUUGGACUCAACGCCGGGAAGCUCACCGGAUAAGACAGCGGAAUGAUUGCCGGGCUGAAGACCCUGCAUGACCAGCUGAGAGGAGGUGCAUGGCGUAGUCGUGU
rnacentral:rRNA from 1 species